CUCGGCCGCCGCCAUUAGGGUCCGCAGCGCCCGCGGCCGCCUCCCACACCUCAGUGCCCCCGCCCCCCGGGGCUCCCCAGUCUCCGCGCCUCCUCUCUGCUCCUCUCCCCCGGCCUCCGGCAGCCGGGAGCCGCGCGCGGACCCUCGGAGACCAUGUCCUGACUGAGGGGAGAGGGCGGAGGCGGCAGCAGCGGGGCGGGCGGCGGCGCGAAGGGAGGCGGAGAGGGGCCGGGCUCGACUCGUAGCCGCGGGCUGCGCGGGGAGUCGCCGCUGCCGCCGCCGCCGCCGCCGCCGCCGCCGCCGCCAAGCGCCCGUCGGACGGGGAGGAGGAGCAGGAGCUGGAGGAGGAGCCGCCGCCGCCAGGGGUUGUAGAAGGUGAUUUAGCUGCCAUAGAAGCAUACAAGUCAUCAGGAGGAGACAUUGCACGUCAGCUCACCGCAGAUGAAGUACGCUUGCUGAAUCGUCCUUCUGCCUUUGAUGUUGGCUAUACUCUUGUACACUUGGCUAUACGUUUUCAGAGGCAGGAUAUGCUAGCAAUAUUGCUUACAGAGGUGUCUCAACAAGCAGCAAAGUGUAUUCCAGCAAUGGUGUGUCCUGAACUGACAGAACAAAUCCGGAGAGAGAUAGCUGCCUCUCUUCAUCAGAGAAAGGGGGAUUUUGCUUGCUAUUUUCUGACUGACCUUGUAACAUUUACAUUGCCAGCAGAUAUUGAAGAUUUGCCCCCAACAGUCCAAGAAAAAUUAUUUGAUGAGGUGCUUGAUAGAGACGUUC
rnacentral:lncRNA from 1 species